rnacentral:lncRNA from 1 species
UUUCACAUCGUUAGGAGUUAGGCUGAAUCCUUCUGAACUAUUAUGUUGAAAAUAAGACUCAACACAUCAGCCUUGUACUGGCGUCUCUUCCUGAUUUGUAAUAUUUACCACUGGGAGUUAAACUGCAAUCUUUUAUCAUCUAUGUAUGUUAACUAAUAAAUAUAUUCAUCAAUUUUCAAAACCAUUUCUAAUGGAGAGGGAUAUACUCUACUCCUUUACUUCUAUCCGUUGGGG